AUACGGAGGAUCCGAGCGUUAUCCGGAUUUAUUGGGUUUAAAGGGAGCGUAGGUGGACAGUUAAGUCAGUUGUGAAAGUUUGCGGCUCAACCGUAAAAUUGCAGUUGAUACUGGCUGUCUUGAGUACAGUAGAGGUGGGCGGAAUUUGUGGUGUAGCGGUGAAAUGCUUAGAUAUCCCGAAGAACUCCGAUUGCGAAGGCAGCUCACUGGACUGCAACUGACACUGAUGCUCGAAAGUGUGGGUAUCAAACAGGAUUAGAUACCCUGGUAGUCCACACAGUAAACGAUGAAUACUCGCUGUUUGCGAUAUACAGUAAGCGGCCAAGCGAAAGCAUUAAGUAUUCCACCUGGGGAGUACGCCGGCAACGGUGAAACUCAAAUGAAUUGACGGGG
rnacentral:rRNA from 1 species